GAGGGAGCAAACAUGAAAAUAAGACUUUGAGCUCAGGAAAAACAGAAAAUGACAACAAGCAUUCCAAAGUCAGAAAAGCUCAGAGUCAGAAGGAUGAAGGACACGUGAAGCAGGAGGUUGAGAAGAAGGUGAAGGCAGAGACUCUGAAGGCAAAUGAGAUCGAGGGGAAUGAGUCUGAGACUCAGAGUCAAGAUGUAAAAGCUGAAGUCCGGAUGGUCGAGGAUCAGAAUGAAAGGAAUGAAAACCUGCAGACACCAAACAAAGAUCUGAAGACUGACAAUGCUGAGCUGCAGCUGUCAAAGUCAGGUGAUUUAAAGAAGACCAAACCUGAACCAGAGAAGCAGAGUGUGGAGAUCAGUACACCAAAGGAGGAGUUGGAGAAAAAUGAAGUAAUGACACCUGACAUGCUUAAGAAAAAGCAGAAGACUUCUUCACUGAAGCUCGACCUUGCUGUCACCAGGAGGAAUAAACUGGAAGACACAGUUGAUCAGUUUUUCAGUGGUAAAAAUCAGUCAAUGGAAAACGAGCUGGAUAACCUGAAGAGGACGCUGCACGCCAGAGAAAAAGAGCUGGAGAGAUUUAAAUGGCUGAGAAAUUACCUCAUUUAUGAAAUCCCUGAGUCUUUUUCACAACUGAAGUUUAAGCUCGCCAUCAGCAGGGUGCAGAAGCUGGAGGACAAAGUAAAAGAACUACUUCAUGGUAAAGAUCAGUCAAAUGAGAAAGACUUGCAGAUCCUGAAGUGGAAGCUUGAGGCCAAAGAAAAAGAAGCUGCAGCCCUGAAGCUCACUGAUGAACACCAGACUGAGGAAGGAGAUGAGAAAAACCUGCAGACACUGGAGAAUAACUCACCAAACCAUGUUGUGGAUGAGGAAGUAGCUGUGGCACAGCAGCAGCUGCAGGGUGAGGAACAGCACAGCGGGAAUGAUGAGUUGGAUAAAACUGAGGUGAUGACACCCGACAUGCUUAAAGAAAAGCAGGAGGCCUCUUCACAGCUGAACCUCGGCCUUGCUGUCACCACGAGGAACAAACUUGAAAUCAAGGUAAGUGAACUCCAGCAGCAGCUGAAGGAUGAACAGCAGAGCAGAGAGAAAGCUGAGAAAGAUGUGCAGACUCUGAAGGAUGAAUUGGAGAAUAAAAACAAAGAGCUACAAGAGUCCAAGUGUCAGUUUGAGUCUCUCACAGAGGUGAGCCAAAAGUCUGAGCGACAGCUGAGUGAACUAAAAGAAAGAUACAAGGAGGAGUUCAAGAAGAAGAUUCGGGGUGAACAGCAGAGGAGGAAGGAGGUUGAGGAAGAUAUAAAGGCCCUGAAACAGGAGCUGGAAAACAAGAUAAACCAGUUACAAAAAGCCAAAGAAGAACCUG
ensembl:lncRNA